rnacentral:rRNA from 1 species
GACGAACGCUGGCGGCGUGCUUAACACAUGCAAGUCGAACGGAAAGGCCCUGCUCUUGUGGGGUGCUCGAGUGGCGAACGGGGGAGUAACACGUGAGUAACCUGCCCUUGACUUUGGGAUAACUUCAGGAAACUGGGGCUAAUACCGGAUAGGAGCUACUGCUGCAUGGUGGGGGUUGGAAAGUGUCGGCGGUUGUGGAUGGACUCGCGGCUUAUGAGCUUGUUGGUGGGGUAGUGGCUUACCAAGGCUACGACGGGUAGGCGGCCUAGGAGGGUGGACGGCGUCCAUGCGACUGAGGGACGGACCAGACUCCUACGGGAGGCAGCAGUGGGGAGUAUUGCACAAUGAGCGGAAGCCUGAUGCAGCAACGCCGCGUGCGUGAUGCCGUCUUACGGGUUGUAAACCGCUUUCGCAUGUGACGAAGCGUGAGUGACGGUAAUGGGUAAAGAAGCACCGGCUAACUACGUG